CCGCGGUGGCCCCGGCAGCCCCGCGCAGCUGUUUCCUGGGGGGCGUGGCGUCGGGGGCCCGCGCGGCGCAGUCCUCCUUCAGCAUCCCGAACAGCAGCAGCGGUCCGCAGGACUCGCAGGACUCGGUGCACAGCAGCCCUGAGGAUGGCGGCGGCGGCGGCCAGCACCGGCCGGUGGGCGGGAGCCCCGGCGGGCCGCGCCUGGUGAUCGGCUCCUUACCAGCUCACCUCUCACCGCGCAUGUUUGGAGACUAUAUCAUCAUGUACAUAGAAAAAUCCAAAGGAUUCUGCAAAAAAGCUACUAGAACCACUGACUUCAUCAAGAUGCAGGUCUCCCUCUGAUGCCGAGCGGAGGCUGGACUGUACAGCCACCAUCUCGGCUCACUGCAACAUCCCUGCCUGAUUCUCCUGCCUCAGCCUGCCGAGUGCCUGGGAUUGCAGGCUCGCGCCGCCACGCCUGACUGGUUUUUGUAUUUUUUGGUGGAGAAGGGGUUUCGCCAUGUUGGCUGGGCUGGUCUCCAGCUCCUGACCGCAAGUGAUCUGCCC
rnacentral:lncRNA from 10 species